rnacentral:rRNA from 1 species
CCUACGGGAGGCAGCAGUGAGGAAUAUUGGUCAAUGGACGAGAGUCUGAACCAGCCAAGUAGCGUGAAGGAUGACUGCCCUAUGGGUUGUAAACUUCUUUUAUAUGGGAAUAAAAUGUUCCACGUGUGGGAUUUUGUAUGUACCAUAUGAAUAAGGAUCGGCUAACUCCGUGCCAGCAGCCGCGGUAAUACGGAGGAUCCGAGCGUUAUCCGGAUUUAUUGGGUUUAAAGGGAGCGUAGGUGGAUUGUUAAGUUAGUUGUGAAAGUUUGCGGCUCAACCGUAAAAUUGCAGUUGAAACUGGCAGUCUUGAGUACAGUAGAGGUGAGCGGAAUUCGUGGUGUAGCGGUGAAAUGCUUAGAUAUCACGAAGAACUCCGAUUGCGAAGGCAGUUCACUGGACUGCAACUGACACUGAGGCUCGAAAGUGUGGGUAUCAAACAGGAUUAGAUACCCCUGUAGUC